UUGGUUGACUCAAGGAAGAAGCAGGAGGCAGUUGCCCCUGGAGCUCCACUGGCUGAGGUCUUAAGUCUCCUCUUGGCUUCCCCCUGAACUGCCCUUUGUGGUCCCCAGGGGAAGUAGAUGAGGGGCCCUAUCUUCAUGGCUCUCUUCUCUGCAGGCUGGGCAGCUGAUGUGCACCCCUGUCUGUAGGACAUGAAGGCACAUGGUGUCCCCCUCUGGCUCCUGGGCGUGAUGACCAUCCUAUGCUUAGGGUACAGCCGUGCUCUCAGGAGAUGUCCCAUCUCCAUGGACAUGUACCACCUGCAGCAGAGUUUCCAAGACAUCAAAAGAGUCAUGCAAGCCAAUGAUACCUUUCAAAACAUCACUGUCCUGUCCACCCUGGAGAACCUGCAGAGCAUUAAGCCACUGGAUGUGUGCUGCGUGACUGGGCACCUCCUGGCAUUCUACGUGGACAGGGUGUUCAAGGAUCAUCAGGAGCCGGAUCCACACAUCUUGAGGAAAAUCAGUGGCAUUGCCAAUUCCUUCCUCUACAUGCAGAAGACAGUUCAGCAAUGUCAGGUGCAGAGACAGUGUCACUGCAGGGAGGAAGCCACCAACGCAACUCAAAUUAUCCAUGACAACUAUAAUCAGGGAGAGAGGGAGAAAGAAAGAGAUCUCAACUACCAGUUCAUGCUCCCGAUGCCCACAGUGGCCACAGCUGGCAACUCAUUUCAGGUCUUUCAUGUGAGUGUCAGGAACCCAGUUAUUUGAGCCAUCACCCACUGCUCCCCAGCAUCUGUAUGGGCAGGAAAAGGUGGAGCAGGGAAUUGAACUCAGGUACUCAGAUGUAGGUACCUUAAUCAGUAUCCAAACUGCAGCCUGCCUCACUGUUUCCUUGUGCUCUCACAUGGCAGGCCUAACCUGGAUUACUGUCUGGGGACAGUGCGCUGCCUAAGAUGGGGACGUUGCUGAGGGAGCAAAGAAUGGCUAUGAGCGGCAUGCUUUAGCUGGAGGCCCACUCAGCUGCCAUCAAGUCACUGGGAGAGCUUAAUGUCUUUCUGGCCUGGCUUAGCGAGAAUCACCAAGACAGCUCUGCAGCCUGACACCGGGACAACCACUUGAUCACUCCACCGUGAAAUUUCUUGGGGCAACAGCUGAUCUGGAAGGGGGAGGAACAUGAGGCAGACCCCCUCAUGCGUAUCCCAGCAUCAGGCUUUUGGGAGAAGGCCUCCUGUUGACUUUGAGCUGUCACUCUGCGGUUUGGAGGUUGUAGGGGACCACUGGAGCCAAGCAGAUCCUGCUCUGCAGUUGAGGAUCUUAUGACUGGUCCUAGGUUGCUGGAUCCCCCCUAGCCCUACCAGGUGCUCCAGUGUCAUAUUUAUCACAGUAUAUGUCUUUCCAAGGUCCCGUGAGCUGGCCCUGGAGGACAAGGCCCACUCCCCCGUAACUUAUUGUGAGGUUGUUGAUCCCGCAGGAUGAGAGCUCUGUGUUCCCCUGUGGUGCACACU